AGCCAAGGGGGAGGAUGCUGUCACAGGUGGCAGCAGAUCAUGGCCAGGCAGCAACCCACACUGCCAGAUUGCUACAGUGGGUAGAGGAUGCAAGGGCCACUCUAGGUUAGGGCUGCUUCUGCAGUCCAGCUUGAACAAGUGACUAGGGUCCACAUAUAUCC